GGGAGGAUUUGGGGGGGAGGAAAGGAGGGAUUUCUCUAUUCCAUUAAAGGAAAUGGAAUGUUUUCAUGAUAAGUAUUUCUAAUGAUGAUUUUUCUGUAUAUCAUUAGAGAGUAUAUGUUCUCACUAUUUAUUGUUUUCUUAAACCCAAAUAAUCUGGCUUUUAGUUACAUUCCUCCCUACCAGGGAAUUAAAUUGAACUUGCAUUGAUCAAAUCUAAUAUCUUCUUUUCAGAUGUUAGACACUUUUCAUUUCCUAAGCAAAGUUCAAUACAAGUAAUUGGAAUAUUUCCCUAGAUCUGUCUUUCAUUGUCUUUCACAAUGUUCUGAUACUAUUGUAUAUGCCUAAAGACAUAUUCAACAUCCAAAUGCUCUCAGCGAUGCUGUUUUCUAAAAAUUUAUUAAUGCAUUACAACCAUAUCUCACUAUUAAGAUAUGAAAUUCUGCCUUGAAAUAAUUAGACUUAGUUACACUUUAAACAAAACAUGAUUCCAAUAGAGCAAGAUGAUGCAGUAAACAGAGAAUCCAUGAUGGAAUCUGGAAGAACUGGGUUCAUAUUUAUCUUUCAGGCAUUUUAUGGUUUUGUGAUUUUCGGCAAAUAAUUUAACCUCUAUUUGCCUCAGUUUCCUAAUCUAUAAAAUGAUGAUAAUAACCAUACCAACCUUUUAGGUUUGCUGUGAGAAUCAAAUUCAAAAAUAAUUAUAAAGCACUAAGUACAAUAUUUGACACAGAGUAAGCUAUGAAUGUAUAGCCAAUAAAUAUAAAAACUAUUAUAUUGUUAUAAUGUUAUCUAAUAUAUAUUUUUCUUGGAAGCAAUGUAUAAUUUUAGUUGAGAAAAGUCUGCGAACAAUUUACUACCUUAUGCUUGUCAGUGAAGCUUUAUAUUAAAUACAACUGCACAGUCAAUGCCCAUAGUAAUCUUUAAUCAAUUUUAGACAUGUUUGAAGUUCACUUCUCCAGUUUAUGGAAGUCAAGGAUGAAGGGAAGAAACAAUUAUUAAAUAAUUCUAUAUGCCAGGCAUUGUGCUAAACACUUUAAAAAUAUUUUGAUUUGAUUCUCACAAUAACCACAUGAGAUAGUUACUAUUAUCAUUCUCAUUUGAUAAUCAUCAAAAAUGAACGAGAUACUUAAUUCAUUUGUCCAUAGUUACAUAAGGAUGAAUUUAAAUUAGCUUUUAUUUUGACUCUAGGCUCAACACAAUUCACUUGUCCACCUAGAUAGACAAAGCUAUAGGGAGAUUUUAGAAUUCAAGAAGAGUAACAGAUCUCAUCUAAGGAAAAUAAAAUAAAAGAAGAUAAGCUCAAUAAUAACAAGGAUAUAGAAUAUAAGUGGAAUCAUACUCAGCAUAAUAAGAAAUAGGAUUAUGGAUUUAAAAUUGGAUUCAACCUGAAAAUUUAUAUAGUAUAUGUAACCAAUCUUCUCAUUUGAAAAUUGAGGCUUAGAAAAUUAAACACAAGUAGUAAGUAGUCCAGGCCAGAACAUGACCCUAGAAUUUCUUAUUUCAAAGAUAGCACUUUUUUUAAGGAAUCAUGCCAAUUUACUAAUUUAUCAUUUCUUAAUUACUCUCUUAAUUUCAAACAAUAAAUAUUUAUUACCUACCUACUAUGACAUUACAGAUACUUUGCCAAGCACAAAAAAUACAAAGAAAGGCAAGAAUCAGUCUCUUUUCUCAAAGAGCACCACAGCUACUCAGAAAGACAGCAUGCAAGUAAAGCAAACAUGUACAAACAUCAUUUCAUCUUUGUGUAUAUAUGCAUAUUGUAUAUAUGUGUUUACACACAUAUAUGCAUAUAUUAUAGAUACCUAUAUACACAUAUGUGUACAUGCUAAAUUGGAUAUAAUUGAAAGAAAGAAAGCACUAGUAUUGAGGGGGAUAGGGAAAGGCUUGUUGUAGAAUAUGAGAAGAAAGCCAAGAGGUGGAACACUGGAGCUAUUCUAAUAAACAUCAGCAUCAUUAAGUUCUGAUAUUAUCUUUUUUAUGUUCGCAUUCAAUCAUAAGCAUGAUGUUAUAAUUUCAGACAGCUAACUUCAAGUUUUUGGAAAACAUUUCCUUCAAAUAUCCCUGAAAAUUCACUUUCAAUUACAUAAACUCCAGCUGUCAUGGGCCCAAGGAUAUAGUAAUACCAUUCUGAAUAGUCCUGUAAACCUGCAUUUCAUGUCUUCCAUUACUUCUUUAGUGGCUCUCUUCUCCCUCCCAAAAGAUAUAUAAUCUUCAUCAGAGAUUCUAUUUUUUUUUCUAUUCAUUUCUCUGUUCACCUGAGAAUUUUUUUUACAUGGCCCCAGAUAUAUAGUUUUAUUAUGUAGGCAUAUACAUUAAAUAUUUACAGGUAAUAAAUCAUAAUUUCCUGGUCCCCACAUUCAGUUAUAAUACCCUAUAGAAGCUUGCAAAUUACAGUUUAAGAAGCUGCAUUCUAUAGAACAAUCUUUAUUUUUUUUUCCAUCAGAUGUCUCACCCACUCAAUUAUUAGGCAUCUUUCUUAAUUUUCUCUGUCAUAGAUCUCACCUAGUCCCAAUGCUACAUGUUUCAUAUCUGGAGAUGGCUCUAAAAUGAUUUUUGUCCUGUCAUAAACCAUCCCUAAGCCCACAUUUCCUAACUUAUAAGGAGAAGAAAAAUAGAUAUUUCUACCUAGCAAUCUUUCCUCCUGGUAGCUGGUAGUUCACUGAAUAAAGCACAGGGCAAAAGUCAGAAAGACCUGAGUUCAAAUCCAGUCUCAGAUUCUUUCUAACUGUCAUCUUGGGUAAGUCACUCAGUCUUGAUUUUCCUCGUUUUCCUCAACUGUCAAAUGGGGAUAAUGAUAGCAUCUUCCAACCAAAGUUGCUGUGAUGGUCAAAUGUGAUCAAAAAUUUGUAAGGAAAAAUAUUUAGCAUAGUGCCAUAGUAGGUAGUUAUUUCCUUCUCCUUAUCAUUUUAAGUGAAAAUAUCUCAAGCCAAUCACCACAUUUCUUCCCCAAAAGAUCCUUCUUUUGAAUUCCCUAUCUCGAUUAAUGAUAUCAACAUUUUCUCUAUUAUCAAAACUUGAUCCUUGAGCACAGAAAUAUUUAAAACAUAGAGCAUGGGCAUUCAAAGACAUUCAAAAUACAUUGAACUUAGUUGAGGGGGAUUUUUUUGUCUUUAUUGAUUAUUAUUAUCUUGAACAUCAAAUUAGUCUUUUUUUCUUAAAUUGUGUUUUAAAAUGAACUUUAAAAUUUUAUCAUGAAAAAGGGGUCAGCUAGUUUCACCAAACCACUAAAGGGGCAUAUGCCAUAGAAAAGAAUAAGAAACUGUGCUUUAAGAGUUGUCUUUAUGUACCUCCAUUUUUUUGUUUCAUAUCAAUCAAGAAUAGACAAAAUAAUGUCUAUUCUUGCUUCAUAAUAUAUCUGUAAUGUAUUGUUCUGUUUUUCUUGUAUCUUCAUUGUCCACCACCUUUGUUUAGACCACAUUUCUUUCUCAAUAGGACUAUUGCACCCGGAGAUCUCCUAAAUUGUCUCCCUUCAGUACUUUUUUUUAUUCUUUUAUUAUUUUCCGAAUAUCCACAUCAAAAGAACUUUGAUCAUAUCAAGAGUAUGGAUGUACCCUUGAUUAAAUUAAAGUUAUAUCCUGGAAUGAGGAACAGAAUUUCUUUAUGAAGGUAUUAUAAAGCUAGGUCAGAAAGCUCUGACAUUUUCACUAUUACACAUCUCAAAGUAUAUAAAUCUUUAUUCUUCUUGGUAUACUUUGCAGCAAAGAAGGGGUGGCUCUUUUCUUUGUCAAGAUUAACCUUUAAACAAGAAUCUUUAAUCCCAUUCAUUUUAUUUUAUUUUUUUUCUUUUUUUUUUAUUUAAUAGCCUUUUAUUUACAGGAUAUAUAAAUGGGUAACUUUACAGCAUUAACAAUUGCCAAACCUCUUGUUCCAAUUUUUCACCUCUUACCCCCCCACCCCCUCCCCUAGAUGGCAGGAUGACCAGUAGAUGUUAAAUAUAUUAAAAUAUAAAUUAGAUACACAAUAAGUAUACAUGACCAAAACGUUAUUUUGCUGUACAAAAAGAAUCAGACUCUGAAAUAUUGUACAAUUAGCUUGUGAAGGAAAUCAAAAAUGCAGGUGUGCAUAAAUAUAGGGAUUGGGAAUUCAAUGUAAUGUUUUUUAGUCAUCUCCCAGAGUUCUUUUUCUGGGCAUAGCUAAUUCAGUUCAUUACUGCUCCAUUAGAAAUGAUUUGGUUGAUCUGGUUGUUGAGGAUGGCCUGGUCCAUCAGAACUGGUCAUCAUAUAGUAUUGUUGUUGAAGUAUAUAAUGAUCUCCUGGUCCUGCUCAUUUCACUCAGCAUCAGUUCUUGUAAGUCUCUCCAGGCCUUUCUGAAAUCAUCCUGUUAAUCCCAUUCAUUUUAAACUCAUGAAAAUCACUUCUCUUUCAUCUUCACUGUUUCUCACUCCUUCUGCCUUGCUUACAAAUUUAUCUUAAUCUCUCCUAUCUUCAAUCUUACCAUUCCUUCAUAUUAUUAUCUUUUAUCUCUUCUUCCUCUUAUUGCCAUGCCCUAUAGAGAUUUGUCUAUUGUUACUUUCCCCACUUUAUUGUUCUAAUUCAAUUGUUCUUCCUACUCAUUUAGUGGUGCUAUGGAUAGACAUGUAUUGAGACUGGAGUGAGGACUAGAAUUCAAAUCUAAAUUCAGACACUUAUUAGCUAUAUACCAUUAGGUAAAUCUCUUCAUCUCAGUUUCUUUAAUAGUAAAGUGGAGAUAAUAAUAGCAAGAAGAACUUACCACAGGACUUAGCACAUAAUAGUCUCUCUCUCUCUCUUUCCCCCUACAAAAACACACACACUUAUUGCCUUCCCUUCAUCCAAGUUCAGCAGAGAUGACACUGAAGGAGAAAGUGAGGCUUGUGACUUUGCACAGUUCACUUGCAUGUCAUUACCUCCUUAAUGUCAUAGUCCUCCUCAAGAAUGAAGGACAAUCGCAGUACCAGACCUAAAACUCUAUUAUAAAGCCUCAGUCAUCAGAAUCAUCUGGUACUGGCUAAGAAAUAGAGUGUUGCAUCAAUAGAAUAGGUUAGGUAAACAAUAUACAUUAAUCACUGACUACAGUAAUCUACUGUUUGAUAAACGCAGACUCCAAUGUCUGGGAUAAGAAUUCACUAUUUGACAAAAAUUAUUGAGAAUACAAAAUACUUCUUUGAGGUGGUGAUCAGUGGGUUUUUUCUAAUACUACUAGGACAAUUUUCUUGGAUUAUUUUUUGCAUUAUUGUGUCAAGGUUCUUUUUUUGGUCACAACUUUCAAGCAGUCCAAUUAUUCUUAUAUUUUCUUGAUCUCUUCACCAAAUCUGCCAUUUUUCUUAUAAUUUGUUUCAUAUUCUGUUCUUUUUUUUUUCAUUUUUAGAAUCUGUUUUGUUAUUUCUUAAUCUCUUAUAGUUCCACUGACUUUCCCUUGCUCAGUUCUAAUUUUCAAAUAGUUAUUUUCAUUUUUGAGACUCAGGAUCUCCUUUCUAGUUGAUUAACUCUUUUUUUCAUCAUCUUCUUGUUCUUUGAUGGUUUUUAGUUUUACUUUUUCCUCAAUGUCUCUUUACAUUAUUAUUAUUAUUAUUAUUUUGCUGAGGCAAUUGGGGUUAAGUGACUUGCCCAGGGUCACACAGCUAGGAAGUGUUAAAUAUCUGAGACCAGAUUUGAACUCAGGUGCUCAUGGCUUUAAGCCUGGUUCUCUAUCCACUGCACCACCUAGCUGCCCCUUAAAUUCUUUUUUUUUUUUUUUUUUUUGAGUUCUUCUAUAAAGUCUCUCUCUGGGCAGAAAACACUUUCUCUUUGAAGCAUAAGAUUUUUUUUGUUUGUUUGUUUUGGGUUUUUUUUUUACUUUAGUGUUCUCCUCUGAAGAUAAAUGCUGACUUUCCCUAUUUCUAUAUUAAGUUGCUAUGAUAGGCGUCAUAUAUUUAAUGGUUCAUUUUUUUUUUUCAAAAAUAAGAAGUUUUAGUGUAAGUACCUCUAAUAGUGGAGGAAUGAGGCCACUAGUCUUAUUUUCGCUCUCCCCUCUGACCUGGAACCCUAAAAUAAAAGCUCCACCCCCAACAAGUGCCUGCAGCCAGCAUCUUCCCUGACCCACUGCUUCUACAUUCACAGGUGUGCUGAUUCCUUCACACCCAGGGCCACUUCCCUGCAGCACACUGAGCUUUAGGUUCCUCCUAACCAGCCAAGAUUCCCUCAGUCUUCCUGGACUCAGUUCCUCAACUCCACAUGCUUUUCAGGAGAUGAAAGUUUCUUUAGUUCCUUCUGAGUUUCCAGCCAAACCCAAUUCGCCUCAGGCCUUCCCAUUUGAUGUUUGUGCGCAGCUAGCCUGGAACUGUUUCACUUUGCACAGAUUAAUUCCUGGCUCGAGGUCUUUCUUCAGAUCUUCUUGGGGUGUACCUGGCAAAGCCUUGUUCUGGCUCAAGUAUUCUUGAUUUUACACCAACUUAUGUUUUCCCUGAAGUGCAAAUUUGUUCUAUUUGUGAGGGAAGUCUGGAGAGCUUGAAACUGACCAACCUAUUCUGAGAUAUUCUCAAAAUCCUGCUGUCAUAUUCUUUUGUAUGCUCUAUAAUUCUUCAGUUUCUUUACAUCCUGUCUUGAUAUUAAAUGUUUUCGCUUUUAUAGAGUUCCUGUGUGUUUUUUUAAAACCAUUGUUAACGUUUAAUUCUCUUCUACUACAUUUUCUUCCCCAUUAAUAUAUUUGUAUUGAGGAUCUACCAUGCUUUUUUAAAAAUAUUUUUACAGAAUCUUUCCAUUACUGAUUUGAGUCCUCCCCCCCAUCUCUAGAAUUUUAAAAUUCUUCAUUGAGAACAAACAUUUUUUAAGUUUUAUUUUAUUAAUGCUUUUUAUUUUCAAAACAUAUACAUAAUUUUCAACAUUCACCUCUGUAAAACCUUGUGUUCCAAAUUGUUUCCCUCCCUUUAUCUGAUCCCUCUAUUAGACUUCAGGUAAUCCUAUAUAUAUAUAUAUAUAUAUAUAUAUAUAUAUAUAUAUAUAUAUAUAUAUAUAUAUAUAUAUAUAUAUACUAUAUAUAUAUAUAUAUAUAUAUAUAUAUAUUAAAGAUACACAAUUCUUCUGUACAUAUUUCAACAAUUAUUAUGGUACAUAAAAAAUCAGAUCAAAAAGAAAAAAAUGAGACAGAAAACAUAAUGCAAGCAAAUAACAAAAAAAAUGAAAAUACUAUGUUGUGAUUCACACUCAGUCCCCAUAGGGAUUCUCUCUGGGUGCAGAUGUAUCUCUUCAUCACAAGACCAUUGAAAUUGGCCUGAAUUCCUUCAUUGUUUAAAAAAAAAGCCAUAUUCUAUCAGAAAUGAUCAUCAUAAAAUCUUGCUAUUGUUGUAUACAAUAUUCUCCUGGUUCUAUUCACUUCACUCAGCAUCAGUUUUUGUAAGUCUUUCCAGGCCUCUCUGAAAUCAUGUUGCUGAGCAUUUCUUAUAUAAAAAUAAUAUUCUAUAACAUUCAUAUGCCAUAACUUAUUCAGCCACCCUCCAACUGAUGGGCAUCCACUCAGUUAACGAUUCCUUGCCACUACAAAAAAGGGCUGCCACAAACAUUUUUGCACAUGUGGGGCCUUAUCCCUUUUCUAUGAUCUCUUUGGGAUAUAGACCUAGUAGAAACUGCUGGAUCAAAAGGCAUGCACAAUUUGAUAGUUCUUUGGGCACAGAAGAACUGAAAGCUUUAACCUAUAUUCAUUGCUAAUUUAUUCUUUCAUUAACAUUUUUCUUUGAAUCAUUCUGGGGUAUUCUAAUUUAUGGUUGGUUGUUUGUUUUUACUCAGAUCCAUCCUUGAUGAAUUUAAGAAUACUUAUUUUAGAGCUGGGAGCCAAGAUGGCGGAGAAGACACAUGGGACUUUCUAAGCUCUUCUCUUACCCUCUUUGUCAAUAUUAUAUCUAGCCUCAAAAAUAGUCUUGACUGUUACAAUUCGUAAAGAUAAGAAGUAGAACAACUCACCGGCCAAAGAAAAUCUGCAGUCUCAGCAAAAAAGGUUGGUUCCGGGGCCAGGGGGCAGAUCGGCACAGACGGGGAGAGAAAUUAGGUUCCGAGGAGAGUCUCAAACCGAGGGUGAAGGCACAGAUCUCAGCACAAGC
ensembl:lncRNA